rnacentral:tRNA from 1 species
AGAAAAUUUAGUUAACACAUAUAACAUGGCCUUGUCAAGACCAAAUCAUCUAAGGAUAAUUUUCU